rnacentral:rRNA from 1 species
CAGCCGCCGCGGUAAUGCGAAGGGGGCUAGCGUUGUUCGAAUUUACUGGGCGUAAAGGGCGCGUAGGCGGACUGAUAAGUCAGGGGUGAAAUCCCAAGGCUCAACCUUGGAACUGCCUUUGAUACUGUUUGUCUUGAGUUCGAGAGAGGUAAGUGGAACUGCGAGUGUAGAGGUGAAAUUCGUAGAUAUUCGCAAGAACACCAGUGGCGAAGGCGGCUUACUGGCUCGAUACUGACGCUGAGGCGCGAAAGCGUGGGGAGCAAACAGGAUUAGAUACCCGUGUAGUCCCUGUCUCUUAUAC